rnacentral:rRNA from 1 species
CCCUUAGAUGUUCUGGGCCGCACGCGUGCUACACUGAGUGGAUCAGCGGGUCAGGUUGCGCGAAAGUGUUUCCUAAUCUUUAAAUCCGCUCGUGAUGGGGAUUGACGGUUGCAAUUUUCCGUCAUGAACGAGGAAUACCUUGUAAGCGCGGGUCAUCAUCCCGCGCUGAAUACGUCCCUGCCCUUUGUACACACCGCCCGUCGCUCCUACCGAUUGAAUGGCUUAGUGAGGCCUCCGGAUUGGCUUCGGGGAGCCGGCAACGGCACCUCGUGGCUGAGAAGUUGGUCAAACUUGGUCAUUUAGAGGAAGUAAAAGUCGUAACA